UUUCGGGCUUUUAUGCCACCACCUGGGACCGUGGAUCAAGUUGGAAACUGGAGGGGAGAGAGAAUGGGGACUGGCAUGCUUGAAAGGAGCCACAGACUAGACCUAAAUGUGGGCACACCACCUCCAGGACAGCAGCCCCUGUACAUUGGGCAGAUGGAUACAACCACCAGGCCGUCAGCGCCUUGAUAUAUCUGGAGAAAGAGGCUGAAAGAGAUGAUUGGUGCGCCUCAAGCAAGACAUAAAACCAGACAGACAGACUUCCCCAUUCAACCACUGCAGUUCUGGUUAAAAAUAACGACAAGGAAGUGUGAGCUACUGACUCUUCUCUCACGACUCGAGGGCUAAGUGGAGCACAGAGGAGCAGACGGGUCUUCAGAGGAAAGAUUGCUGUUGAGAACAUCUGAAGCUCACAAACAAAGGCCACCUGGCUCCUCGCAGUGGGAUGGAAAUGGGCUCUCCUCUGUGCUACACUGACAAGUGUGUGCUAAUAACCGGGUCCACACACACUCCUGAGGCCUAAUUAGUACUGCAUCUAAUGUGGUGUUAAUCAUUCACAAAUGGAGAAAAAAGCUUUAAUGUUUAUAUUUUUGGUAAUUGAGCUUGUUCUCAAUGUACAAACUGUGUUUUUUAUCCCCGGCAUCCUGCCUAGGAAAGACUGAAGUGGACAUUUGUGUAUAUUAACUGUUUGCUCAAUUAAUGCUUUUUAAAACUAUUGUGAUGAGAUUUUUAAACUGGUUUGAAACAAGUAAUUUUAAAAUGG